rnacentral:rRNA from 1 species
CGUGAAGCUGGAUUCGCUAGUAAUCGCGGAUCAGAAUGCCGCGGUGAAUACGUUCCCGGGUCUUGUACACACCGCCCGUCACGCCAUGGGAGUCGGAAAUGCCCGAAGUCUGUGACCCAACCUUAGGGAGGGAGCAGCCGAAGGCAGGUCGGAUGACUGGGGUGAAGUCGUAACAAGGUAUC